rnacentral:rRNA from 1 species
CCUACGGGCGGCAGCAGUGGGGAAUAUUGGACAAUGGGCGCACGCCUGAUCCAGCUAUUCCGCGUGUGGGAUGACGGCCCUCUGGUUUUUAACCACUUUUGUAGAGGACGCAAAGACACCUUUUAAUAACGGGUGUUGCUGUCGGUACUCUAAGAAUAAGCACCGGCUCAAUACGUGCCAGCAGCCGCGGUAAUACGUAGGGUGCGAGCGUUAAUCGGACUUACUGGGCGUAAAGGGUGCGCAGGCGGUUGAGUAAGACAGAUGUGAAAUCCCCGGGCUCAACUCGGGAAUUGCAUAGGUGACUGCACGACUAGAGUGUAGCAGAGGGAGGUGGAAUUCCACGUGUAGCAGUGAAAUGCGUAGAUAGGUGGAAGAACACCGAUGGCGAAGGCAGCCUCCUGGGACAUAACUGACGCUCAGGCACGAAAGCGUGGGGAGCAAACAGGAUUAGAUACCCCAGUAGUC